rnacentral:rRNA from 1 species
ACCCGGGAAACUGGGUAUAAUACCCGUUAGGUCUCGAUUGCUGGAAUGCAUCGAGAUUUAAAGCUCCGGCGCCUAAGGAUGGGUCUGCGGCCUAUCAGGUAGUAGUGGGUGUAGCGUACCUACUAGCCUACGACGGGUACGGGUUGUGAGAGCAAGAGCCCGGAGAUGGAUUCUGAGACACGAAUCCAGGCCCUACGGGGUGCAGCAGGCGCGAAAACUUUACAAUGCUGGCAACAGCGAUAAGGGAACCUCGAGUGCCAGGUUACAAAUCUGGCUGUCGAGAUGCCUAAAAAGCAUUUCAUAGCAAGGGCCGGGCAAGACCGGUGCCAGCCGCCGCGGUAACACCGGCGGCUCGAGUGGUAACCGUUAUUAUUGGGUCUAAAGGGUCUGUAGCCGGCCGGAUAAGUCUCUUGAGAAAUCUGGCAGCUUAACUGUCAGGCUUUCAGGAGAUACUGUCUGGCUCGAGGCCGGGAGAGGUGAGAGGUACUUCAGGGGUAGGGGUGAAAUCUUGUAAUCCUUGAAGGACCACCAGUGGCGAAGGCGUCUCACCAGAACGGACCUGACGGCAAGGGACGAAAGCUAGGGGCACGAACCGGAUUAGAUACCCGGGUAGUCCUAGCCGUAAACGAUACUCGCUAGGUGUCGGCCACGGUGCGACCGUUGUCGGUGCCGUAGGGAAGCCGUGAAGCGAGCCACCUGGGAAGUACGGCCGCAAGGCUGAAACUUAAAGGAAUUGGCGGGGGAGCAC